GCUUCGUUAGUACCAGGACUUCCAGCCAUGCUCCCCACAUCUGGCAUCAUGAAUAUAUAUAGUUGGAUCUUCAACAUUAGAGAAGACAAAUGCAUAAUCUGUGAUUAGGAAAGUUGAACAAGACAGUAGGAUCUCAAAGUGUUCUUACAACGUAAAUUCUGUGUGGCAGAUGAUUCAGUUACUUCGUCAUUGACGCCAUCAGAUGCAACUUUAUUCUGGAGACCGUUUAUUCCUCCCGUCCAUAUGUACUCCAUGUUGAUGAUGAUCAAUGAUUGCUGCGGCACCAACUGCACCUAGUGAACCAGAGUGUGCAUGCUUCUUGGUCAUGGUCAAGAGUAGUCAUGUUUGAAUACUUCUUCUGUUGGCGGGCUAUACGGCGCUUUUCGAGGAUGCAGGUGAAGUCGCGCCGGCGACGUGCUGACCCUGAGAGGGAGACACGAUCCCAGGUUACAGGUGUGGGGGUGGCGCAGUCGCAGAGAGAGGAAGAGAGCCUCGACAAGG